GUGCAACGUGGAAAAAGUCGGUAAGAUGGAUGGAUGGAUGACGCAGAACUCGGACGGAAUCUGGUGGAACCCUCAGGUCGACCAGGUUUCAUCCGAGUGCGUUCGUGCGAUGUUUUUAUGGCCUGCUGGAUCUUUAUGGUUGGCGAUGUUCUGCUUGCUCCCAGGAUGGGAAUUAUGGAGACUAUGGCUUUGUGUUGUGCUGAAUUCAAUCAGGCACAUGCAUGCAUGCGAUGUUUUUCGGAAUCACAGGAUGAGGAUAAAUUGAAACAGCUGAUUUUGUUGCCACUACGUCGAUAUUUUUCUCGUUGGUGAAAUUCGAAGUACGUGGUCUCAGGGCAGACUAGCAUUUAUGGUAUGUUGCUGCUUACUUCGUCUACGUGCUCCGUCCGGAACCCUGGCCUGACCUCCUUGCGUCGAUAGACUUGCCAAUUUAUCGCGUCGAACUUCUUGCCGAAUUCUCGCAUCUUUGCGAUGGAGUCGACGUUGGCUGCUAGCAUUGCGAUACGGCAAUCUUCCCUCGUAUUGCGGAAAAGGACUUCAAAACGCCUUCGCUCAGACCAUGGCUCGGACAUCCCACGGAAGAUUUUAGCCAUUUCUAAAUAGAAGUCCUGGAACCUCUCACGUUGGCCUUGUUUUCGACCGUUGGCUUGUCUUUCGUAGACAAAAUCGAUGUCGUAGGCAACGAUCUCAACGCGCGUUCCUGUUGCUUGCGGGUGCCAGUAAUUGUUUCACCCCGAAGGAUUAGCUCAUGUUCCAACUCGUCGACGGUCAGAUGAGCACCAUUCAGCGAAUAAUACUGGAGUAGCAGAUGAGCCAUAUCCAUCCUGAUUAAUUAUUAAGACGAAUACAAGAAACAGGAAACAAAAAGAAAACUGGAUGUGUGCACGAUUUCAAAAUCCGACUAACAAUUUAAAAUCAACUCAAGAGCUUUAACAAUCAACUACACAACUAAAAUUAGUACGUAAUCUUUAAUGUAAGUACUAUUUUUUUUUAUUAUGUUGCACCAUAUGAAAAUCAAUAAAACAAGUUCCAGGACUGUGUUUUAUUGCCUAACCUUUCCCACAAAUGAUCUACUACAGUUUAAAAUUUUUGAAAUUUAAAAAUUAUAAUUUACAACUUAAUUUACAACUCCACAAAAACUAUUACUUUGAUUCUCAAUGAAGUUGGCUGGUUCUCUUAACUUUGUGAACGAACCAAGACCCCUCCAAAAGCAAUCCAAAUUGUCGACCUGAAUUUGUAGCCUUUUUUAUACAAUUGUCAAAGGCGUUUCAGAAGGUCUCGGAUGUUUUCCCAGAGACUUCUGCAAAAACCAAUAACUACUACACUUCAAACGUUUCCCUGCACAAACUAAAAUAGCGGAUCUAUUUUAGUUGAGCGCCAAGUAUAACCUUAUGGUUGGUUAGCCUGCCCAGCACCAAUGAGAUUCCCCCUCUAGAAGCCUCAGGGCCGGCUAUCCGCGUUCUAGCUUGCAACAAGAAAACACUGCGCUUAGUAGAAACGAACUUUCCCGUUUAUUGUAGUAUUGUCGACAAAA